rnacentral:rRNA from 1 species
AGGAUAAACGCUGGCGGCGUGCCCAACACAUGCAAGUCGAACGUCCUACGCGCAAGCGUAGGGAGUGGCGGACGGGUGAGUAACACGUGGGCAAUCUACCUUUCGGUGAGGAAUACCGGCGAGAAAUCGCCGACAAGACCGCAUACGCUCGGGCAACCGAGCAAAGUCGCAAGACGCCGGAGGAGGAGCCUGCGCCCGAUUAGCUAGUUGGUGAGGUAAGAGCUUACCAAGGCGACGAUCGGUAGCUGGUCUGAGAGGAUGAUCAGCCACACUGGGAUUGAGAACGGCCCAGACUCCUACGGGGGGCAGCAGUGAGGAAUUUUCGUCAAUGGGGGCAACCCUGAACGAGCAACGCCGCGUGCAGGAUGACGCUUUUCGGAGUGUAAACUGCUUUUCUCGGGGAAGAGCAAGGACGGUACCCGAGGAAUCAGCCCCGGCUAACUACGCGCCAGCAGCCGC